AUGGCGGCGGCGGCGGCGGCCACGCCGGCGAGGGCCUGGUGGCGGCCGGAAAUCCCCGCGACCGCCGCAGCCGCUGCUGGCAGCUGCUUCUUCCGUGCCGGAGGAAAGCGCUUUACAGGACUUCAAAUGACAGGCAGAGCCAGCAGCAUCCUCCCUCACGUCAAGAGCGGGGAGGCAGCGGAAGGGAGCCCCAACGCCGACGCCGACACCGCCACUGCGACCGCCCCCGUUGUCGACGAGGAGACCCUCCGCAAUGACCUGGAGACGGCGAUCGAGGAGGAGGACUACGGGCGCGCUGCCAAGCUCCGGGAUGAGCUCCGACACCUGCGAGAGGACGGGCGGUCGUCGUUGCUGGCGGCGAACGCGCGGUUCUACGACGCGUUUCGGGACGGUGACCUGGCGGCGAUGCACGCGGUGUGGGCGAAGGGGGAGCACGUGUACGUGGUGCACCCGUCGGCAGGGCGCAUCUCCGGCUACGAGACGGUGAUGCGGAGCUGGGAGAUGGUGUGCGACGCCGACCACGAGUUCCCGCUGCGGUUCGACCUGCAGGACGUGGAGGUGCACGUCAAGGGGGAUAUUGGGUACGUGACCUGCCUGGAGAUGGUGAAGACGAGGGGCAGCGGCGGCAGCUGGGGCAAGCAGCUCGCCACCAACGUCUUCGAGAAGGUCGCCGGCGAGUGGCUCAUGUGCGUCCACCACGCCUCCCAUCUCGACGACGACGACGAAUGA
rnacentral:rRNA from 1 species